CCUACGGGAGGCAGCAGGGAGGAAUAUUGGGCAAUGGACGAGAGUCUGAACCAGCCAAGUAGCGUGAAGGAUGACUGCCCUAUGGGUUGUAAACUUCUAUUAUAGGGGAAGAAAACAGGGUAGGCAUACCCUCGUGUAUGUACCAUAUGAAUAAGGAUCGGCUAACUCCGUGCCAGCAGCCGCGGUAAUACGGAGGAUCCGAGCGUUAUCCGGAUUUAUUGGGUUUAAAGGGAGCGUAGGUGGAUUGUUAAGUCAGCGGUAAAAAUUCGGGGCUCAACCCCGUCGUGCCGUUGAAACUGAUGUUCUUGAGUGGGCGAGAAGUAUGCGGAAUGCGUGGUGUAGCGGUGAAAUGCAUAGAUAUCACGCAGAACUCCGAUUGCGAAGGCAGCAUACCGGCGCCCAACUGACGCUGAAGCACGAAAGCGUGGGUAUCGAACAGGAUUAGAUACCCGAGUAGUC
rnacentral:rRNA from 1 species